rnacentral:rRNA from 1 species
CAGUCGCCGCGGUAAUACGAAGGGUGCAAGCGUUAAUCGGAAUUACUGGGCGUAAAGCGUGCGUAGGCGGUGAGUUAAGUCUGCUGUGAAAUCCCCGGGCUCAACCUGGGAAUGGCAGUGGAUACUGGCUCGCUAGAGUGUGUCAGAGGAUGGCGGAAUUCCCGGUGUAGCGGUGAAAUGCGUAGAGAUCGGGAGGAACAUCAGUGGCGAAGGCGGCCAUCUGGGACAACACUGACGCUGAGGCACGAAAGCGUGGGGAGCAAACAGGAUUAGAUACCCCAGUAGUCCCUGUCUCUUAUAC